UAGCAAUCGUGAAACUGGUAAAUGUUGCAAAAGGUUUGUAUAUAAUACAAACUAAUUUAUCAUUAAGUACUUCAUUUUUAAAUUCUUAGGUAUUAGAUACUGCCUGUGGUUUCGCCUUUGCAAAUCAUUGUAGGGUCUAUAAAAAAUAAAAAGUCUGAAUAAAGGUGACUUCAAGCUAUUCAAUGCUAGUGAAGAGUCCAU
rnacentral:lncRNA from 1 species